rnacentral:rRNA from 1 species
GACAGAGGGUGCAAACGUUGUUCGGAAUUACUGGGCGUAAAGAGCGCGUAGGCGGUCCGGUAAGUCCGCUCUGAAAGUCCGGGGCUCAACCCCGGGAGGCGGGCGGAUACUGUCGGGCUAGAGUCCGGAAGAGGCGAGUGGAAUUCCUGGUGUAGCGGUGAAAUGCGCAGAUAUCAGGAGGAACACCAAUGGCGAAGGCAGCUCGCUGGGACGGUACUGACGCUGAGGCGCGAAAGCGUGGGGAGCAAACAGG